rnacentral:rRNA from 1 species
GGAAUAUUGGACAAUGGGCGCAAGCCUGAUCCAGCCAUGCCGCGUGAGUGAAGAAGGCCUUAGGGUUGUAAAGCUCUUUCAGCGGGGAAGAUAAUGACGGUACCCGCAGAAGAAGCCCCGGCUAACUUCGUGCCAGCAGCCGCGGUAAUACGAAGGGGGCUAGCGUUGUUCGGAUUUACUGGGCGUAAAGCGAGUGUAGGCGGUUUGCCAAGUCCGUUGUGAAAUCUCCCGGCUCAACUGGGAGGGUGCGGCGGAAACUGGCAGGCUAGAGUGCGGAAUGGGAGAGUGGAAUUCCUGGUGUAGCGGUGAAAUGCGUAGAUAUCAGGAGGAACACCGGUGGUGAAGACGGCUCUCUGGACCGCUACUGACGCUGAGACUCGAAAGCGUGGGGAGCAAA